rnacentral:rRNA from 1 species
CAGCAGCCACGGUAAUACGUAGGUGGCAAGCGUUGUCCGGAAUUAUUGGGCGUAAAGGGCUCGCAGGCGGUUUCUCAAGUCUGAUGUGAAGGCCCCCGGCUCAACCGGGGAGGGUCAUUGGAAACUGGGAAACUUGAGUGCAGAAGAGGAGAGUGGAAUUCCACGUGUAGCGGUGAAAUGCGUAGAGAUGUGGAGGAACACCAGUGGCGAAGGCGACUCUCUGGUCUGUAACUGACGCUGAGGAGCGAAAGCGUGGGGAGCGGACAGGAUUAGAUACCCCGGUAGUCCCUGUCUCUUAUAC